rnacentral:rRNA from 1 species
UACGGGGGGGGCAAGCGUUGUUCGGAAUUACUGGGCGUAAAGGGCUCGUAGGUGGCCAACUAAGUCAGACGUGAAAUCCCUCGGCUUAACCGGGGAACUGCAUCUGAUACUGGAUGGCUGGAGAUUGGGAGAGGGAUGCGGAAUUCCAGGUGUAGCGGUGAAAUGCGUAGAUAUCAGGAGGAACACCGGUGGCGAAGGCGGGUCUCUGGGCCGAUACUGACGCUGAGGAGCGAAAGCUAGGGGAGCAAACAGG